rnacentral:rRNA from 1 species
AUGGAGCCGCUCCUCCGGGAACCUGGCCUGUUCCCUCCGGAGUACGUUACUUCAGGAGAAGAAAGCUUGUUGUUCUCAGUUGAGUUUGAGCAUAAUGGCAUAUUCAUAGGGCAAGGAGUUAACAGAUCCUACCUUGGAAGUACAUAUGCAACUUUUGAUUACUGUCAUGUAGAAACAUGGUCACUGGAAAUGGUGAAGUACUGUUUGGACAAGUUGGAUUACUCACAUGGUUUCCCAGAUCUGCAAGUGUAUUGGUGCUUACCAGGCAAAGACAUUGUGGAUGGUCUUGUUUGUGUGGAUACUGAAGAGGUGAUUGCUGCUAUGGUCAAUGCAAGCAAAGAAGCAAAGACUUUGCUAUUGAUAGUGGAUGAAGAUAAUAAGAUCAGAACAUUAUAUGAUGAUGUGAUCAUUGAUGGCCCCCCUCUGCCAAGGGUAAUUACUCCAAGGAAACUGCCAAGUCUGCUGAAGGAAUGGAGGAAGAAGAUAAUGGAGAGGCAGGAGAGGAAGAAGAGCAUGCAGAUGAUAGAGAGGAAGGAGAGCAAGGACAGAAUGGAGAGGACAUAG